rnacentral:rRNA from 1 species
GACGAACGCUGGCGGCGUGCUUAACACAUGCAAGUCGAACGGAAAGGCCCUGCUUUUGUGGGGUGCUCGAGUGGCGAACGGGUGAGUAACACGUGAGUAACCUGCCCUUGACUUUGGGAUAACUUCAGGAAACUGGGGCUAAUACCGGAUAGGAGCUCCUGCUGCAUGGUGGGGGUGGGAAAGUUUCGGGGGUUUGGGAUGGACUCGCGGCUUAUCAGCUUGUUGGUGGGGUAGUGGCUUACCAAGGCUUUGACGGGUAGCCGGCCUGAGAGGGUGACCGGCCAAAUUGGGACUGAGAUACGGCCCAGACUCCUACGGGGGGCAGCAGUGGGGAAUAUUGAACAAUGGGGGGAAGCCUGAGGCAGCAACGCCGCGUGCGGGAUAACGGCUUUCGGGUUGUAAACCGCUUUCGCAUGUGACGAAGCGUGAGUGACGGUAAUGGGUAAAGAAGCACCGGCUAACUACGUG